rnacentral:rRNA from 1 species
GAUGAACGCUGGCGGCGUGCCUAAUACAUGCAAGUCGAGCGAACAGAUGAGGAGCUUGCUCCUCUGACGUUAGCGGCGGACGGGUGAGUAACACGUGGAUAACCUACCUAUAAGACUGGGAUAACUUCGGGAAACCGGAGCUAAUACCGGAUAAUAUAUUGAACCGCAUGGUUCAAUAGUGAAAGACGGUUUUGCUGUCACUUAUAGAUGGAUCCGCGCCGCAUUAGCUAGUUGGUAAGGUAACGGCUUACCAAGGCAACGAUGCGUAGCCGACCUGAGAGGGUGAUCGGCCACACUGGAACUGAGACACGGUCCAGACUCCUACGGGAGGCAGCAGUAGGGAAUCUUCCGCAAUGGGCGAAAGCCUGACGGAGCAACGCCGCGUGAGUGAUGAAGGUCUUCGGAUCGUAAAACUCUGUUAUUAGGGAAGAACAAAUGUGUAAGUAACUAUGCACGUCUAGACGGUACCUAAUCAGAAAGCCACGGCUAACUACGU